rnacentral:rRNA from 1 species
AGACGGGUGAGUAACGCGUGGGAAUCUACCUUUUGGUACGGAAUAGCUCCGGGAAACUGGAAUUAAUACCGUAUGUGCCCUUUGGGGGAAAGAUUUAUCGCCAAGAGAUGAGCCCGCGUUUGAUUAGGUAGUUGGUGGGGUAAUGGCCUACCAAGCCGACGAUCAAUAGCUGGUCUGAGAGGAUGAUCAGCCACAUUGGGACUGAGACACGGCCCAAACUCCUACGGGAGGCAGCAGUGGGGAAUAUUGGACAAUGGGCGCAAGCCUGAUCCAGCCAUGCCGCGUGAGUGAUGAAGGCCCUAGGGUUGUAAAGCUCUUUCGCCGGUGAAGAUAAUGACUGUAGCCGGUAAAGAAGCCCCGGCUAACUUCGUGCCAGCAGCCGCGGUAAUACGAAGGGGGCUAGCGUUGUUCGGAAUUACUGGGCGUAAAGCGCACGUAGGCGGACAUUUAAGUCAGGGGUGAAAUCCCGGAGCUCAACUCCGGAACUGCCUUUGAUACUGGGUGUCUCGAGUAUGGAAGAGGUAAGUGGAAUUGCGAGUGUAGAGGUGAAAUUCGUAGAUAUUCGCAGGAACACCAGUGGCGAAGGCGGCUUACUGGUCCAUUACUGACGCUGAGGUGCGAAAGCGUGGGGAGCAAACAGGAU